AUACGUAGGGUGCGAGCGUUAAUCGGAAUUACUGGGCGUAAAGGGUGCGCAGGCGGUUUUGUAAGUCAGAUGUGAAAUCCCCGGGCUUAACCUGGGAACUGCGUUUGAAACUACAAGACUAGAGUGUAGCAGAGGGGGGUGGAAUUCCACGUGUAGCAGUGAAAUGCGUAGAGAUGUGGAGGAAUACCAAUGGCGAAGGCAGCCCCCUGGGAUAACACUGACGCUCAUGCACGAAAGCGUGGGGAGCAAACAGGAUUAGAUACCCUGGUAGUCCACGCCCUAAACGAUGUCAACUAGUUGUUGGUAGAGUAAAAUCUAUGAGUAACGUAGCUAACGCGUGAAGUUGACCGCCUGGGGAGUACGGUCGCAAGAUUAAA
rnacentral:rRNA from 1 species